rfam:Anabaena sp. CRKS33 321, whole genome shotgun sequence.
GGGAUGUUGUUAUGCACUGGAUUUAAGUCAAGGUUUGGUUUUCAACCAGACCUUUU